rnacentral:rRNA from 1 species
CCCUUAGAUGUCCUGGGCCGCACGCGCGUUACACUGAUGCAUUCAACGAGCUUAUAACCUUGGCCGAGAGGCCUGGGCAAUCUUGUUAACGUGCAUCGUGAUUGGGAUAGACCUUUGCAAUUAUGGGUCUUCAACGAGGAAUUCCUAGUAAACGCAAGUCAUCAGCUUGCAUUGAUUACGUCCCUGCCCUUUGUACACACCGCCCGUCGCACCUACCGAUUGAAUGGUCCGGUGAAAUCUCGGGACGGCGGCUUGGUCGCUUGCGUCCGACUGCUGAAACUUGAUUAAACCAUAUCAUUUAGAGGAAGGUGAAGUCGUAACA